AGCCAAUUUGUUCCAUCCCGGUUUGUUCUGUGAUUUGGUGUUCUUUCGUUGACAUAUGCAGUGUUUGAUUGUUGAUAUGGUUAAUUAUUGAGCCUUAUUGUUAUUGUUUUUCAUCUGGGUAAUUAUUGUUGAUCUGGGUAAUUGUUGUUGAUCAAGUGCUGGGUAAUUAUUGUUGAUUAGGAUAAUGGGUAAUAUUGUGUGAUCAAGAAUAUUGGUGAUUACUGUUGAUGAAGAUAUGGGUAAUUAUUGUAUAUGAUUCUCUUUGGGGAGCGAUCGGUUGGGUUUUUGAUUUCUUGGCCGUCUCAGAAUUAUAUAAAUCUCUCGUUAUGUACUUUCGAAUUUGAGGAGUUAACAUUUUUAGUUUGCAAUUACUUGUGUUUUUUUUCUAAUUUAUUGAUUCGUUAUUGUUGUUUGUUUGAUCAGGUAUGGGUAAUGAUGAUAGGAGAAUGAUUCUCCUUCUACGCUUGCUGUUACCUUGUUAAUUCUGAGGUUUUUGUUGUGAGAAUUCGUGUGUUGGUGUACCUUGUUUUGUUGAAUUAGAAUACGAGUAGAAUUGGAAAUUUGGAUCAAUCAGUUUGGAUUUUGAUAUCUUGACUUCCAUCUUUAAUGUUAGUUUUGAUGCUAAUCAUGUGUCUCCUCGCAUAAGCUUCUUUUACCUUGUUAUUUGCUUUGGGCAUCUACAGGAACAAGUGUCUUGCUUUGGUGUUUGUGGUCCGGGAAGAUGCAGCUGUUACCAGGUCUGUGACUAUAGCCUAUAGGUAUUGGAUUUUUCAGUCUCUCAAAGCUUUGUUCAGAACUGGUUCGAUAUGGAAGUUCUCAAUUAUGGAUAUUUCUCUUCCAUAGUUGUGUAUAGUGUGUUCUACUGCCAGUUUUAGUUGUUAGUUCAAAUGCUCGUGUUCUUUGAUGAUCCUGGUAUCUUUUAUCGUAUUAUGGAGCACCGGAUAAAGUCAAAAGUCAAUUCUGGAUCUUUAAUAGUGCUGUAAAGUUAUCACUCCAGCUUGAUUUUGUUAAUUGGUGAAUGAAUGUGUAGACCACAUGGUGACAGUAAUAGAGGAUUGGUUUUGGGAACUUCAACGACUUGUAUCCUGUAUGCAUUCCUGUGCACCUUGUUUCUUGGUCUUUUUGGUGCUUGCAUUCCAAGAUGGAUAUUUUUAGGCUUCGACCAAAAUGGGGGUUCUCAAUCUUGUCUCUUGCAUCUCUAGUGAUUUCUUGGGUGAUAUGGGUUUUGUCAGCUUUGCACUUAACUGUUCCCUUCUUUUUGUGCUAGCAGUUGGGUCUUGCAGAGCAGUGAAUUAUUCUUUUCAUGGAGGGGCUUUGUUUGGCCAUUUGUGUUGAGGUUACUCAUUUGAGUUUUCUUCUCCAAUCAGAGUGGUCCUCCUCUCUUUGUCAAAAAUUGUUGCUGUAUGGACUUGCCAGCUAAAAUAGUUUUUCUUGCACUCGCGUGUGUUGUGUUCUGCUGCCGUUUUCCCUUAGUUAUCGCGCCAGCUUGAUUUUGUUAAUUGGUGAAUGAAUGUGUAGACCACAUGGUGACAGUAAUAGAGGAUUAGUUUUGGGAACUUCAACGGCUUGAAUCAGGUAUGCAUUCCUGUGCACCUUGUUUUUCCUUGGUCUUUUUGGUGCUUGCACUCCCAAGAUGGAUAUUGUUAGGCUUUGACCAAAAUGGGGGUUCUCAAUCUUGUCUCUUGCAUCUCUAGUGAUUUCUCAGGUGAUAUGGGUUUUGUCAGCUUUGCACUUAACUGUGCCCUUCUUUUUGUGCUAGCAGUUGGGUCUUACAGAGCAGUGAAUUAUUCUUUUCAUGGAGGGACUUUGUUUGGCCGUUUGUGUUUGGCCAUUUGUGUUGAGGUUCCUCAUUUGAGUUUUCUUCCCCAAUCAGUGUGGUCCCUCCUCUUUGUCAAAAUUGCUGCUGUAUGAAACUUACCACUAAAAAUAGUUUUUCUUGCACUCGCGUGUGUUGUGUUCUGCUGCCGUUUUCCCUUAGUUAUCGCGCCAGCUUGAUUUUGUUAAUUGGUGAAUGAAUGUGUAGACCACAUGGUGACAGUAAUAGAGGAUUAGUUUUGGGAACUUCAACGGCUUGAAUCAGGUAUGCAUUCCUGUGCACCUUGUUUUUCCUUGGUCUUUUUGGUGCUUGCACUCCCAAGAUGGAUAUUGUUAGGCUUUGACCAAAAUGGGGGUUCUCAAUCUUGUCUCUUGCAUCUCUAGUGAUUUCUCAGGUGAUAUGGGUUUUGUCAGCUUUGCACUUAACUGUGCCCUUCUUUUUGUGCUAGCAGUUGGGUCUUACAGAGCAGUGAAUUAUUCUUUUCAUGGAGGGACUUUGUUUGGCCGUUUGUGUUUGGCCAUUUGUGUUGAGGUUCCUCAUUUGAGUUUUCUUCCCCAAUCAGUGUGGUCCCUCCUCUUUGUCAAAAUUGCUGCUGUAUGAAACUUACCACUAAAAAUAGUUUUUCUUGCACUCGCGUGUGUUGUAUUCUGCUCUACCGUUUUCCCUUGGUUAUAAUGCCAGCUUGAUUUUGUUAAUUGGUGAAUGAAUGUGUAGACCACAUGGUGACACUAAUAGAGGAUUAGUUUUGGAAACUUCAACUGCUUGUAUCGAGUAUGCAUUCCUGGGCACCUUGUUUUUUCUUGGUCUUUUUGGUGCUUGCUCAUCUCCAAGAUGGAUAUUGUUAGGCUUCGACCAAAAUGGGGGUUCUCAAUCUUGUCUCUUGCAUCUCUAGUGAUUUCUUAGGUGAAUGGUGAUACGGGUUUUGUCAGCUUUGCUUUUUUAACUGUUCCCUUCUUUUUGUGCUUGCAGUUGGGUGUUAUAGAGCAGUGAAUUGUUCUUUUCUUGGAGGGGCUUUGUUUGGCCAUGUGUUGAGGUUUCUUUAGUACAGGUUUUAAUUGAGUACUAAGAUUCUCAUUUCAGUUCUCUUCCCCGGGCUGUCCCUUUUCAGUCCAGAUGUGUAUGUUCUUUGAUGAUCCAACUGAUGAGAUUCCUGGUGGUUGUUGAUAGGUAUAUCCUGAUAAAUACUCGAAACUCAAUCCUGGAUCUCUUGACAGCCCCGUCAAGUGGGUCCCUGUUAGACCCUCUCUUCUGAAAGUUAAGAGGAUUAGAUUUGGAAAAUUUCGAAGGUUGAUGCCCAGUGUCCGCUCCUGUGCACCCUGGUUCCUUGCCAUUUUUGUGCUUGCACUGCAAUUUUGUGCUUGCACUGUGAUCUGAAUAUUAUCAGUCUUCGAUCCCCAAUCUUGUUUCUUUGCCCUUUUUGUGCUUGCAUUGCAAUCUGAAUAUUAUCAGGGUUCGAGACUGGGUUUUUUCAAUCUUGUCUGUGGCAUUUUCCAGUGGGUUUCGUCAGCUUUGCAUGUAACACUUCCCUUCAUUCCUUUGCUUGCAGCCAUUGGGUAUUCCAAAGCAGUGAAUUAUUCUUUUCAUGGAGUGACCUCAUUUGUCAGUAUGUGUUGAGGUUUUGUUAGUUCAGUCUUUUACGAGUAUAGAUAAUUUUCAAUUCAGUUUUCUUCCCUAAUGACUCCUUUGUCUUUGUCAACUACUGUUGUACGGAAGUUUCUCAAUUAGGACAUUAUUUUCACCAAUGCGUGUUGUAUUCUGCUGCCAUGAAGUUCUUGGUUCAGACGCUUAUGUUCUUUGAUGAUCCAAUUGAUGAGGUCUCUUACUCUCUUAUGGCUAUGGAUACCUGAUAAGUACUUGACCAAUUAUAGAUCUUUUGAUUGUGGCGUAAAAUACUUCUUUACUUUUGUUCUUUUAGCUAGUUAUCUUCUCUGCUUCCAUUUUUUUCGUUAUCACACUGGUUUUUUUUGGUUGUAUGGAUGUGUAGACCAUGUGGUGACAUUGUUAUGGACGUUCAGAUUUGGAAAUUUCAAAGCUUGGUUAACCAACAUGUGAUCCUUUGCCACCUUUUGGUCUUUUGGUGCUUGCACUGCAAUCCCGAAUCUGGGCUUUGUCAAAAGGGGGUUUUCAGUUUCAUCUAUGGCAUCUCUAGUGGUUUGGGGUUCUUCAGAUUUUCUCUCGACUGUUCCCUUCUUUCUGUUCUUGCAGCCAUUGGUUACAGGGCAGUGAAUUAUUCUUUUCAUGGAGCGGCCAUGUUGUCCGUUUGUGUUGAGGUUUCUUUCUUUAAUUAGUAUCGACAUUUUCGAUUCAGUUUUCUUCCCUAAUGGCUCCUUUGUCUUUGUCAAAACUACUGUUGUAUGGAAGUUUCUCAACUAGGACAUUAUUUUUCACCGGUGUGUGUUGUAUUCUGUUGCCAUGAAGCUUUUAGUCCAGACGCUUGUGUUCUUCGAUGAUCCAAUUGAUGAGGUCUCCUAUGGCUAUGGACACUUGAUAAGUACUCGGCCUAUUCUGGAUCUUUUCUUUUGAAGCGCCAUAAAGUCCUCUGCUUCUGGUCUUCUAGCUACAUAUAUUUUUUGCUGCCAUCUUCUUUGGGUAAUCAGAACUUUUUUUUUUGUUUGGAUAAAUGUGUAGACUAUAUGGUGACAAGGUUAAGAUAUGGAGAUUUCAAAGGUUGAUAUCCAGUAUGGUAUCUCUGUACCCCUCUUGGUCCUUUUGAUUCUUGCACUGCAAUCUGGAUAUAUUGGUCGAGGCUUCAACAAAAGGGUUUUUAAAUCUUGUCUAUAUGGCAUCUCUAGUGAUUUUUUAGGUAUGGGUUUCUUCAGCUUUGGACUUUGGUUGUACCCUUCUUUUUGUGGUUGCAGCCAUUGGGUCUUACAGAGUAAUGAAUUAUUCUUUUCAUGGAGCAGCUUUCUUUGUCCAUUUAUAACGAGGUUUCCAUUGUUCAGGCUUCUAUGAGUUCUGACAUUUUCAACUAAAAUAGUUUUUUUUUUCAAUAGUAUGUGUUGUGUUCUACUGGCAUUUUUAGUGUUCAGUCCAGAUGCUUAUUUUCUUCAUUGAUCCAAUGAUGAGAUUCUUGAUGGUUGAUGGUUAUGGUCUCAUGGACACCCGACAAGUACUCAAUGUUGGAUCUUUUGAAAGCCUCGUAAAAUGGUCCUAUCUUUUGGUGUUCUCGCUGCUCAUCUUCUCUGCUUCCUAUUUCAUGUACUACACUAGCUUAAUUUUGUUUGUUGGAUGGAUGUAUGGUGACAGUUGAGAGGAAUGAGACUUGGAAGAUUUUGAAGUUUGGUGUCCAGUGUGCAUUCCUGUGCACCCUGUUUCUUGAUUAUUGGUGCUUGCUCUACAAUCUGGAGAUUAUCAGGCUUUGAAAGAAGGCGGUUCUCAAUCUUGUCUAGCAUUUGUAGUGAAUUCCUAGGUGGUACGAGCUUCACCAGCUUUGCACUUACUUUUCCGUUCUUUCUGUGCUUGCAGCCGCUGGAUCUUACAGAGAUAGAUUCUUCUUCUCAUGGAGCGACCUGGUCUGUCAAUUUUGUGUUGAGGUUUCUUGGUUGAUGCUUCUAAUGAUUAUUGAGAUCAUUCAGUUUUCUUCCCUAAUCAGAAUGGUUCCCUUCUCCCUUGUCAACACUGCUUCAGUAGUGUGUAUUUUAUUGCCAUAUUUGUUUUAUAUUAAUCCAGAUGCUUAUGUUCUUUGGUGAUCCAAUUGAUGGAGAUCUCCAUGGUCAUAGACAACACAUGAUAAGUGUAUUCAAACUCAGUCGUGGAUCUUUUGAUGGCUCUGUAACACACUCCUCUACUUUUCAUGUUCUACCUUACAUUCUCUGAUUUCAUCAAGCCUACCAGUUGAUUUAGUUUGGUUGGAUGAAUUUUUUUAGGCCACAUGGUGGUAGUAGGAGGAUAAGAUUUGGAAAUUGUAUACUUUGGUUUUGGUCUGCAUCCCUGUGGACCAUGUUUCUUGCCAUUUUGGUGCUUGCACUGCAAUUUGGAUAUUGGAUAUCACCAGGCACAGGCAGCUUUGCAAUCCUAUCUUGUUUGACAUCUCUAGUGAUCUCUCCUGCAUAGUAUGGUUUUCCACUUACCUGUUACGUUCUUUUUGUGCAUGUAACCGUUGGGUUUUUCCAGAGCAUGAACUUCAAUUCUGUUUUCUUCCUAAUCAGCGGGUCCCUUUUCUCUUUGUCAAAACUACUGCUGUGUGGAAGUUCUCAACAAUGAUAAUAUUUUCCACUAGAGUGUGCUGUACUCUGCAGCCAUGCAGGUUUUAGUAUAGAUGCUUAUUUUCUUGGAUAAUCCAAAUGAUGAGAUCCCUGAUUGUUGUGGACACCUGAGAAGUACCCAAACUCAAUUUUAGAUCUUCUUAUGGCCCCGAGAGUCCUCUACUUUGGUGUUCUUGCUACUUAUCUUCUCUGCUUCUAUUUUCUUAUGUUUGUGAUGCCACUUGGUUUUGUUUGUUUGGAUGCAUGUUUGAAGACCGCAUGAUGACCGUGAGGGGAUCGUUUGGUAAUUUUGAAGUUUGGUUUCAGUAUGUGUCUUCCCUUGUGCAUUUUCAGCCUUAUGACAUAGAGUUGAAGGAAUCUCUAUGACAUGGGAAGAAAAUUGAUGAGUUCUCUUAUGGGGGUGGGCAUCUGGUAAGUACUCGCUCAGUUCUGGAGAUCUCUCCUCUGUUUUUUUUUCUUCGAAACAUGUGUAUUAUGUUCAGAUAUUAAAUCAUUUGACAAGUUGCUCCAGACUGUUAGCUAUUAUGUAACUUUAAUGUGAGCUCCUGCACACUUUUUUUCUCCAUAAAACAUUGCCAUUUGAACAGUCUUUGCACCAAAGAGAGCAAUUCGUUGAAUCUAGAACAGAUCAAGUAAAAUACUUGGCUCAUCUUUUUAUGCAACAGUGCACUCAUUAUGUAUUUAUAUCACAAAGGUAAUUAUUUUUUUCUGGGUAAAAGAUCUUCUCAUGAGCUACCCUUUUAAAUCCAUUACAUAUCAUAUCAUUGUGCAAGCUGGGAAGUAUUUCAAUGAAUCUUGUUCUUCUAAAUAGCUUUCUACUAAUUUGCUUAAUACGGUUGAACUUGCCAUUGAUUGUAGGUAACUGUUGUUCUGUCAUUCUCUGUGUUCUUGCUAUAUUGUCGAUGUAUGUUCAGUCAAAUGUCACUUCACAGAUGGUAUGUUUCCUAAAAUGUUACCGAUGCAUGUUUGGCCUUUCCUAAAUCCAUGUGAAUUCCUCUUCGUAGUUUUUCAUUUCACCAGGCCCGUUUAGUCAAAUGUCACUUCACAGAUGGUAUGUUUCCUAAAAUUAGAAGACGAGGGAAGAAGAGAAUAGACACAGAGAGAGAGAGAGAGAGAGAGAGGAAUUUCUGAUAAUUUUCUAUAUUGAUAUUGGUCAUUGAUAGUACUAACGAAUAUAAGUAAAUGACAGAUGCAAUCAUAAGAUGACACCUGUCUCCUCUACUAACAGAAUUUAAGACUAAAAUGGCAAUUAAAGCCAGCUGACUUCAAGGACUGAAAAGAAAUUACUAAAUGCGACUAAUUAAAACUUAAGGGACUGAAACAAUUUAUUGAGAACUUAAAUUAAGCUAAGUCACAAAUAGACAUUUGUGACACUCCAUCCUCCUUGAAAUCAGCCUUGCCUUCAGGAAUCUUUAAACUCAGGGAUCCGACUAUGAUUUCAGGCAUUCAGGUUCUUAUGAGUUCUCAUAUUUGUCCAUAUGUGUUGAGGUUCCAUUAGUUCAGUCUUUUACGAGUAUAGAUAAUUUUCAAUUCAGUUUUCUUCCCUAAUGAUUCCUUUGUCUUUAACUAUUGUUGUAUGGAAGUUUCUCAAUUAGGACAUUAUUUUCACCAAUGUGUUGUAUUCUGCUUCCAUGAAGUUGUUAGUCCAGACGCUUAGUUCUUUGAUGAUCCAAUUGAUGAGGUCUCUUAUUCUCUUAUAGUGGCGUAAAAUACUUCUUAGAUUUGGAAAUUUCAAAGCUUGGUUAACCGCCAUGUGAUCCUUUACCACCUUUUGGUCUCUUUGGUACCUUGGACUGCAAUCUGGAUAUUGUCCGACAAAAGGGGGUUUUCAAUCUUGUCUAUGGCAUCUCUAGUGAUUACUUAAGUGGUUUGGGGUUCAUGAGAUUUGCUCUUAACUGUUCCCUUCUUUCUGUUCUUGCAGCCAUCAGUUACAGGGCAGUGCUUUAACGGAGCGGCUGUGUUUGUCCGUUUGUGUUCAAGUUUCUUCUUUUAUGAGUACCGAUAUUUUAGAUUCAGUUUUCUUCCAUAACGGCUCCUUUGUCUUUGUCAUAACUACUGUUGUAUGGAAGUUUCUUAACUAGGACAUUACUUUUCACCGGUGUGUGGUAUUCUGCUGCCAUGAAGUUUUUAGUCCAGACGCUUAUGUUCUUCGAUGAUCCAAUUGAUGAGGUCUCCUAUGGCUAUGGACACUUCAUAGGUACUCAGCCAAUUCUAGAUCAUUUGAUAGUGGAGUAAAAUACUUGUUUACUUUUGUUCUUCUAGUUACUCAUCUUCUCUGCUUCCAUAUAUUUUUCGUUAUCACACUAGUGUUUUUUGGUUUGAUGGAUGUUUAGACCAUCUGGUGACACUGUUAUGGGCGUUCAGAUUUGGAAAUUUUAAAGCUUGAUUAACCAGCAUGUGAUCCUCUUCCACCUUUUGGUCUUUUUGGUGCUUGCACUGCAAUCUGGAUAUUGUCGGGGCUUUGACGAAAGGGGGUUUUCAGUCUUGUCUAUGGCAUCUCUAGUGAUUACCUAGGUGGUUUGGGUUUCGUCAGAUUUGCACUUAAAUGUUCUCUUCUUUCUGUUCUUGCAGCCAUUGGUAACAGGUAUUGAAUUAUUGAGCGGCCGUGUAUGUCCAUUAGUGUUGAGGUUUCUUUAGUUUAAGUUUUUUAUGAGUAUCGAGAUUUUCGAUUCGGUUUUCUUCUCUUAUGGCUCCGUUUCCUUUAUAAAAACUAGUGUUAUAUGGAAGUUUCUCGACUAAGAUAAUAUUUUACACCAGUGUGUGUGGUGUUCUGCUGCCGUGAAGUUUUUAAUCCAGACGUUUUUCGAUGGUCCAAUUGAUGAGGUCUCCUAUGGCUAUGGACACUUGAUAAGUACUCGGCCUAUUCUGGAUCUUUUCUUUUGAAGCGCCAUAAAGUCCUCUACUUCUGGUCUUCUAGCUACAUAUGUUUUUUGCUGUCAUCUUCUUUGGGUAAUCAGAACUUUUUUUUUUGUUUGGAUAAAUGUGUAGACUAUAUGGUGAAAGGUUAAGAUAUGGAGAUUUCAAAGGUUGAUAUCCAGUAUGGUAUCUCUGUACCCUCUUGGUCCUUUUGAUUCUUGCACUGCAAUCUGGAUAUAUUGGUAAGGGCAAAAAGAGGGGGUUUUAAAUCUUGUCUAUAUGGCAUCUCUAAUGAUUUCUCAGAUGGUAUGGGUUUCGUCAGCUUUGGACUUGAUUGUACCCUUCUUAGAUGGGUGUUGGUUUUGUCAGCCAUUGGGUCUUAGAGAGCAGUGAAUUAUUCUUUUCAAGGGGCGGCUUUCUUUGUCCAUUUAUUUCGAGGUUUCCUUAGUUCAGACUUUUAUGAGUUCUGACAUUUUCAACUAAAUUAGUUUUUUUUUUCCUCAUCAAUUGUGUGUUGUAUUCUACUGCCAUUUAUAGUUUUUAAUUUUUAGUCCAGGUGCUUAUUUUCUUCAAUGAUAAGAUUGAUGAGAUUCCUGAUGUUUGAUGGCUUUGGUCUCUUGGACAUCUGACAAGUACUCAGUUUUGGAUCUUUUGAAAGCCUCGUAAAAUGGUCCACUCUUUUGGUGUUCUUGCUGCUUAUCUUCUCUGCUUCCUUUUUCUUGUACUACGCUAGAUUGAUUUUUUUUGUUGGAAUGGAUGUAUGCUGACAGUUGAGAGAAAUAAGACCUGUGGAAGAUUUUGAAGGUUUGGUCCUGUGUGCAUUUCUGUGCACCCUGUUUCUUGGCCAUGUUGGUGCUUGCACUACAAUCUGGAUAUUAUCAGGCUGCGAAAGAAGGCGGUGCUCAAUCUUGUCUGGCAUUUCUAGUGUUAGGUGGUACGGGUUUCACCUGAUUUGCACUUAAAGACUGUUCCAUUCUUUCUGUGCUUGCAGCCGCUGGGUCUUUACAGAACCAUAGAUUCUUCUUUUCAUGGAGCGGCUUGGUCUGUCAAUUUGUGUUGAGGUUUUUUGGUUGAUAGUUCUAAUGAUUAUUGAGAUCUUCAACUCAGUUUUCUUCCCUAAUCAUAAUGGUUCCUUUCUCUGUUGUCAACACUGCUUCACUGGUGUGUAUGUUGUUGCCAUAUUUGUUUUUUAUUGAUCCAGAUGUUUAUGUUCUUUGGUGAUCCAACUGAUGAGAUCUCCAUGGUUAUGGACAACACAUUAUAGGUGUAUUCAAACUCAAUCAUGGAUCUUUUGAUGGCCCAGUAAUGCAAUCAUCCACUUUUUGUGUUCUCGCUACUUACCUUCUCUGAUUUCGUUUAGCCUACCAGUUGAUUUAUUUUGGUUGGAUGAAUGUUUAUAGGCCACAUGGUGAUAGUAAGAUGAUAAGGUUUGGAAAUUUUGAAGUUUGGUUUUGGUGUGCAUCGCCGUGGACCAUGUUUCUUGCCAUUUUGGUGCUUGCACUGCAAUCUGGAUAUUGGAUAUCACCAGGCAUCAAGAGAAGGGUUUGGCAUCUCUAGUGAUCUCUCCUCUGUGGUAUGGGUUUCCACUUACCUGUUACGUUCUUUUGUGUGGUGUUCUGCAGCCAUAUGAAGUUUCAGUCUAGAUGCUUAUUUUCUUGGAUGAUCCAAAUGAUGAGAUUCCUGACUGUUAUGGACACCUGUGAAGUACCCAAACUCAAUUUCAGAUCUUCUUAUGGCCCUAAGAGCUCCUCUACUUGUGUUCUUGCUACUUAUCUUCUCUGCUUCUAUUUUCUUAUGUUUGUCAUGCCACUUUGUUUUGUUUGUAUGGAUGCAUGUUCGUAGACCACAUGGUGACCGUGAGAAGAUCAGAUUUGGUAAUGUUGAAGUUUGGUUUCAGUGUGUGGUCCUUUCCCUUGAGCAACCUGUUUCUUUGCCAUUUUGGUGCUUGUGCUUGCACUGCAAUAUGGAUGUCACCAGGCACUGGCAAGGGAGUUGUGGAAUCUGUGUCUGGCAUCUCUAGUGAUCUCUCCUGUGUGGCAUGGGUUUCGCAGCUUGCACUUUAACUGUUCCCUUCUUUUUGUGCUUGCUGUCAUUGGGUCUUUCAAGAUCAGUGAAGUCUUCCUUUCAUGGAGCAGCCUCGUUUGUCUAAGCCUUGAAGUUUCCUUAGUUUAGGCUUUGUAUUAGUAAAUAGCUCUUCAAUUUAGUUUUCUUCCCUGGUCAUACAGAUACCCUUGUCUCGUUGUCAGAAGUGCUGUUAAACGAAAGUUUUCAACUAUGAUUACUUUUGCACGAGUGCAUUUUCAGCUUUUACUCCAGAUGCUUAUGUUUUGCGAUGAUCCAACUGAUGAGAUCUGUUAUGGGUGUGGAUAUCUGGUAAGUACUCUCUCAGUUCUGGAUCACUUUAUAGCCCCGUGAUGUGCUCAUCUACCCUUUGUGUUCUUGCUGCUUAUAUUCUCUGCUUCCAUUUUUCUUUUUUCUCAUCACACCAGUUUGUGUUUCGUCAGUUGGAAAGAUGUUUAUACCACAAAGUGAACAGUAUUGGAGUAAUAGAUUUGGAAAUUUAAAAGUUUAGUGUUCAGUAAGCUGGUCGCUUAGGUGCUUGCACUGCAAUCUGGAUAUCGUUAGGGCUUCGAGAAAAAAGGGGUUUCUAAAUAUUGUCUACGUCAUUUCUAGGGAUUUCACAAGCGGUUUGGAUUUUGCCAGCUUUGCACUUAACUGUUCCUUCUUUCUGUGCUUGCAGUUGUGGUCUUACAGAUCUUCGAAGUGCUGCUCUUCUAGUUAUUAGUUUAACUGAAAAUUUUACAUGUCAGUGGUGGAUAUAGUACAUGGUCAUUUUUAUUCAAUUUCUGGUUCAUUUGUUGGGUGCAGUAUCUGCAGCUGUAAACACUACUAUUUUCAGACCAACUGUUGCUAGGUAGUGUUUGGCUGAUAAUAAGUCUAUUCAUGAGAUGCAACACUGGAUGCAAGAGUAUCCAAUACAAUGCGACUUACAGUGGGAGUGCAACAGGUUCCUCAGGAAUGUAUAUAAAAUGACGUGCUCAAAUUGUAACAUUUUGAUUAUUCUUUAGCUGAAGUGGUUAGUGAAGUUGUUUCUUUUCUUGCUUCCGCCAGGAAGUGCAUUCAUAUAGUGUUUCAAGCAAAAAUUAAUGGGAAUUUGAGAAUGACGUGAUACCAUACGUCGGGCUACUCUAAUCAAUAUCCAUGCUGUCACGGGAGGGGGCAUACUGUAAGCAGUAUCUGUAGUUUGUUCUGAAAAUUUGGUCAAUUUAGUAGGUUGCAUUUCAUAUUAGAGGUAUAGAUGAAGGUGAAAUCUCUUCAUCGCUUGAGAUAGGUACUUAGCAUUUUGUUUGAGCAUGUUGCUUAUGAUGCCCCUUUAGCCUUUUUAUCUAUUGCGUUAUUAGAGUGCUAUAGAUAUUAAGAUUUUACAGGUCUAAUUCAUCAAAGUAGGUUGUUUUGGGUGGAUCCGUAUACGGAGAGAAUGUCUAAUACAUAACAUGACGUAUUACAAAAAGAGGAUUUUGUAGGUGCAACAAGUGUUAUCUUUGUGAAUAUUCGCAUAAACCAUCAUGCCUGGCUUUCUCGGAAGUUUUGUCUUGUCUGCUGGGACUGGACUUACAUGUGGGGGAUUGAUGUAUCAGUGUUAGUGAAGCUUGGCCAAGUAUCACGGUAGUAGAGCCAUAGGGCGCUAUAAGAGCUCAACUGCACUCCGCUCAUUUCUGAAUUGUCCUCGACACGUGGAACUCAUUAACUUGGUGUGGUAACUUCACAUUUUUAAGCUUUAGGGAAUUGACGACAAUAUCAAUCAGAUUAGGAAGAUCACCCGCCUCCCCUGCAUUAUGUGGUACGGGAAAUGAAUAGAAAAUGUUUUGAUUGGGGAAAGCCAAACCAGUAUCUUUUGUGACAUACAAACGUAUUUACAACUUGUACUUCUGUUGUUGGGGCGAUAUGUUGGAGGCAGUUCUCUUGUAUCUUUGCAGUGCCAAGGUACCAAGUCUUUUCCGAAUGACUCGGUGGUGGAUGUGCAGGAGUACUUCAGUACAAAAUAGUGUACUCGCCCGGCUGACUGACCAUGGCAUAUAGGCGACCCUGUGUUAAAUCCCUCUGCCAGAUAUGGUUCACUGGUAUAAAAAUAGAGAUGAAGAGGUCAAAAGAUAAUUGUAUCGAAAUUGUAGCAGAUUAAAUACAUGAACUACAAUCGACUUAAACGGUUGGAAAUUAUUCCAGACAUGCUUCAACAUUGGGUUAUAAUAAAAUAGUAACAUGAGAUGAACAAAAUAAUGUAUAGCCUCUCAAGCUAGAGGCAUGGUGUAACAAUGCUUAACGUGGGGAAGGUAUAUACAAGUUGAUUACAAGCAUGAGUAAUAUAAAUUCGAUGAGCUUGAACUUGGUCACAGAUAUACAAAAUAUAUAGCAACAUGUGUUUUUAUUUACCUUUACCUGUGUUUAGUGUCUUGCUUGUUGAAUACCAUAUUGUUUGAUACUCACUCUUUGCUAUCUACACUU